rnacentral:rRNA from 1 species
AUGACUGCGGCAAUGCGUAUGCUAACAUAUGGAUUAGCAGCUGAUGGUGUUGAUGAGUACAUCCGGUCCGCUGAGUCGACUAAUUUAGAGUCUUGCAAGAAAUUUGUGAUCAAAGUUUGUGAAGUUUUUGGGAAAAAGAACCUGAGAUCUCCAAAUGAAGAAGACAUUGCUAGGUUACUUGCAAUAGGGGAGGAAAGAGGAUUUCCUGGUAUGUUAGGGAGCAUAGAUUGCAUGCACUGGGGGUGGAAAAAUUGCCCCAAAAAAUGGCAUGGCAUGUUUAAAGGCCAUGUGAGCGAGCCCAAUAUUAUCUUGGAAGCAGUUGCUUCACAAGAUCUUUGGAUUUGGCAUGCUUAUUUUGGUUUACCGGGGUCUCUGAAUGAUAUAAAUGUUCUUCAACGUUCUCCUAUUUUUACAAAGCUAGCCGAAGGCCAAACUCCUCCAGUGAAUUAUAGCAUCAAUGGCCAUCAGUACACAAUGGGGUAUUACCUUGCAGAUGGUAUCUAUCUACGGUGGGCAACAUUUGUGAAGAGCAUACCAGCUCCGACUAGCAGAAAGCAUAAAACUUUUGCCAAGAAGCAAGAGGGGGCUAGGAAAGAUGUGGAACGAGCCUUUGGAGUUCUGCAAUCCCGUUUUGUCAUUGUUCGUGGACCUGCUAAAGGAUGGAAACGUAAAGAAAUCACUGAUGUCAUGAAAGCUUGUGUCAUAAUGCACAAUAUGAUAGUUGAAGAGGAGCGACAAACUGGUCGGCAAAGCUGCACUUUUGAGGCAAUGGGAGAAAGAGUCACAGUCUCUCGUACUCAUGCGGAAGAACUGAGCUCUUUUAUUCAGAUGACUCACCGGAUUAGAAAUUUCGAUGAACAUGAUCAGCUUAAACUUGAUCUAAUUGGCCAUGUGUGGCAAAAGUUUGGAAACGAGUGA